rnacentral:tRNA from 1 species
UCCUGCGUCGACGGGGUCAGCGCGGCCAGCUUCGGCGGCGGCGGCGUGCGCUCGUCGACGAUGCGGGUGCGGCCCCCGCCGCGGGGC